GACGAACGCUGGCGGCGUGCUUAACACAUGCAAGUCGAACGGUGAAGCGCCUUCCUUUUUGGUGGGUGUGGAUGAGUGGCGAACGGGUGAGUAACACGUGAGUAACCUGCCCCCUUCUUCUGGACAACCGCAUGAAAGUGUGGCUAAUACGGGAUAUUCUGGGUCUGUCGCAUGAUGGGUCUGGGAAAGAUAUUGUUUCGGUGGGGGAUGGGCUCGCGGCCUAUCAGCUUGUUGGUGGGGUGAUGGCCUACCAAGGCGGUGACGGGUAGCCGGCCUGAGAGGGUGGACGGUCACACUGGGACUGAGACACGGCCCAGACUCCUACGGGAGGCAGCAGUGGGGAAUAUUGCACAAUGGGCGCAAGCCUGAUGCAGCGACGCCGCGUGAGGGAUGGAGGCCUUCGGGUUGUGAACCUCUUUCGACAGUGAAGCAGGCCUGCCUUGUGUGUGGGUGGGUUGACGGUAGCUGGAUAAGAAGCGCCGGCUAACUACGUG
rnacentral:rRNA from 1 species